rnacentral:rRNA from 1 species
GACAGAGGGUGCGAACGUUGUUCGGAAUUACUGGGCGUAAAGCGCGUGUAGGCGGCAACGCAAGUCGGGCGUGAAAUCCCACGGCUCAACCGUGGAAGUGCACUCGAAACUGCGUAGCUAGAGUCCUGGAGAGGAAGGUGGAAUGCUUGGUGUAGAGGUGAAAUUCGUAGAUAUCAAGCGGAACACCGGUGGCGAAGGCGGCCUUGCUGGACAGUGACUGGACGCUGAGACGCGAAAGCGGUCGGGGGAGCAAACAGGG